rnacentral:rRNA from 1 species
GACGUAGGGGCCGAGCGUUGUCCGGAGUUACUGGGCGUAAAGCGUGCGCAGGCGGCUUUGCAAGACAGAUGUGAAAUCCCCGGGCUUAACCUGGGAACUGCAUUUGUGACUGCAUGGCUGGAGUGCGGCAGAGGGGGAUGGAAUUCCGCGUGUAGCAGUGAAAUGCGUAGAUAUGCGGAGGAACACCGAUGGCGAAGGCAAUCCCCUGGGCCUGCACUGACGCUCAUGCACGAAAGCGUGGGGAGCAAACAGG